rnacentral:lncRNA from 1 species
GGAAACCAAACCCUGGAUUAUUGCUGCUCCUGCUUUCAACAUUUCAAACAUAAUAAUGAAGUGGCUUCCAGUGGCCUUGAGGAGUCAGCUUCUGUGGCUGAGGUGAUGAUGGCAGACUUGGCAAGGAGCUGGGAGGUUAUGUUCAAACCUCCAACAACAGACUGGAGUCGGGGCCACAGACAGACACGCAGGGACUGGGGUCCUUGACUUUCCGUCUUCAAAGAGCACUGGCUCUGAAGUGGCACGUUCACACCUGCCCUCUGCAGUGAGUUCCGCCUUCCUGGCUGCAGACUCAACAGGACAACAACACGUCUGUGGACGUGUUCAAGGCCACACUCAUAAGCCAGGCCUGGGAGCUCCUCUUCCACCCUUUCUUCCUGAAUGAAAAGAAAGUUCUGGCUUCUCCCAAAGGGACUGUCACGGACCAGAAGCCGCGUGAUUGCUGGAGGUGUCAGUACACAGCACACCUGGAGUGGCCUUUCUUCUCCCCUCCCAUUCUUCUCCAGAGAAGCUGCGCCAACGGCAGUUAAGUGUGAGCGUAGUUCUGCCCCUCGUAUUUCCUGACAGCACUUAGGUUCCCACGAGAGCUUUAUAGAGGAGAGAGAGGUAUUUACUGUUUUUAAUGGGACCCUGUUUGUCUCCUGGGUGCAGUGAAUAUGAUCGAACAAUGGGAUAUCCACUGACUAAACAUAUAUUUGCUUCUCCCCCCAACUUUCCACUGAUCAUGUGAGCCCUCCCAUCAUCAAAUGUGCAAAUUUGAAACCAUACUUUGAUAAGUUCCACUUGUUAAAGAUGAGAUGGCUGGUUUCCAGCGUGUGAAACCUUCCCGAGAAGUAGACCAGGUGCCACGUGUGACUCGGGAUCCUGCACUCGGAUGCUCCUCUGUUGUUGCGUCAGCUCACAGACAGCCCUUCCUCCUCUGGGCAAAGGCAGGUGGUGGUCAGACCCAGGAAUUAGCGAGAGGGAAGCACUGGGUGUUUUUCUAGCUAGUCCUCGUUCUGAUCUUGACAGUGAUAAAUAGUGGUUCCAGUUGCAAAAUGUUCCCUAACUCUUUUUCACUUUUGCUCCGAGAUCGUGGAAAUAUACACUGUUCUGUUGAUGAAUCCCCAAUUUAGUGACAUAUAAGUAACUAGAAUCUUCCCCCUAAGAAACGUGCAGACUCUCCCCCUCCCCCAUCUCUCUCCCUCCACCUUCCCUCCCUCUCCUCUCCCUUUCUCUUUCUCUCUCCGUUGUUCUGAGAGUUUUCCGCUUCCUAAAUUCACAGGAAUGACACCAGGGGGACAGAAGCUCCGUCCUCCACAGUCAGCUCCGACCUGUCCCUGGGGACCCUGGAUUCCAAGCUCUGGCCUGUGAUUUAAUAACGAGACCCGUGGGGCGGCCCAGGUGCUGUCUCUCAUACCCUCGCCGAUUGCCAGGGGAACGUUUAGUCUGUUGACUUUAUUCAGUUAUGCUAGUCUGGCAAACAUGCCCGGAGCUGUAAAUUAUUGAGAAGUUUAAUUUAUUUGGUGUAGAAGGAAUUUUCUUUUACCUUCGUUAUCAAAUAGCAGAAGAUGAAAAACCGCUUUGUUUGCAAAUCAUAAAAACUUUAACAGACUUGUGCUGUAAAGAGUAAAAGAGACUUCCCUGAACUUAGAGGAUAACAGGGGUCACCACACCACCCCAAGAUGAAAGUUAUGGUACAUACCCGUUCAGAUUGGGAGCGAAAUGUGGAACUACUGCCUCCCGUUGGUGGUAACAGACAACCCCUCUGAACGGAGCACUAGGCAAACCGGGGACGAGGCCAGCAGGGCCUUUGUCUCGAUCCCUCUUCCCGUGAUGAUCGAUGACUUCCCAGUCACCCAGGAGAGGGAGACAUUUGAAAUUGUAGGAAAUAUGAUAUAACCUAAACCCCCUUAGUAUAUAAAAUUACUACCUAAUAGUGAACAUGUCACUGCUUUUAAAUUCUUUGAUCUUGUACUUAGUACAUGUUUCAUUGAAAUAGAAACAACAAAAACAAAUUAUCUCACAGAACAGCCACUGUCACCUCAGACUACAGCCCCUCCCCUCCAACUGGCUCAUUCACUCUCUUGAUGAAAAAGGGUUGAUCUGAUGCAAAAAUAACCAUCAUCUACAGCAAUGCAAAAAUAUAAACAACAGAAGCACAGAAAUUCUUUGUAAAAUUUUUCUCUUAUAAUUCCCUUGUUUUAAAUGUACUUCUGGAAUCAGGUGACACCAUUGAGCUUUUGUUUAUCAUCUCCAAGUAUUUUAAAAAUUUGCCUUUAUCCAUGGGCAGCAACACCGUUUCAGCUAAGAAUGCUGGUUCUGCAAUCCAGCUGUCUGGGUUUGAAUUCUUGACUGUGUCAUUAGCUGUGUGAUAUUGGAUAAGGUAUUUAAUGUCUCUGUUCCUCAGUUUUCUCAUCUGUAAAAUAGGGAUAUUAUCUUCCUCAUAGGGUUCUUGUGUGAACAAGUACAAAAAAUAGCACCUGGCACAUAAUAAGUGCUCAAUAAAUGUUAAAUUAUUGCUAUGAAUCAUUUACUAUGUAUUUUGGAUUCAUUUCCUCAUUUUCUUACAAUAAACAAUUAUUAUAAUUGUUAUUAUUCCCAUUUUACUGAAGAGGAAAUUUACUCCUGGACCCAGAGUUAGAAGUAAGCGGAGCCCGGGGUCUGUAAGUUUCGGGGGCAGGUCUGGAUCCCCCAGCCCCUGAGACGGGAGGUCUACUGGGUAGUGCUCAGGGGACAUCAGGGGAGACGCCGCCAGAGCCCUGGACUGUCAG